UACGUAGGGGGCUAGCGUUGUCCGGAAUCAUUGGGCGUAAAGAGCGUGUAGGCGGCCCGGUAAGUCCGCUGUGAAAGUCGGGGGCUCAACCCUCGAAAGCCGGUGGAUACUGUCGGGCUAGAGUCCGGAAGAGGAGAGUGGAAUUCCUGGUGUAGCGGUGAAAUGCGCAGAUAUCAGGAAGAACACCUAUGGCGAAGGCAGCUCUCUGGGACGGUACUGACGCUGAGACGCGAAAGCGUGGGGAGCGAACAGG
rnacentral:rRNA from 1 species